GGGGUUCAAUGAUAAAUCAUGUACUAUUGAACACUCCACUUGUUCUUGUAUUUAAGUAACUCCCCGUUUAAUCAUUUGGCUUAGCACCUUUACAGUGCCAACAUGUGACUUAGCUGUGACUUUAGCUCUAUAACCACUGAGUUCCAUAAGAUCGAUUCUCCAAAUAUAGACAUCACUCACGUUGCCGUACUAUAAUCUAUCUGAAUUUCUUUACUCCUCCCACUUUCACUUAAGGACAUCUGAGUGGUUAGACUCAUGAACCAAUCACAGGAGAAAGCACUAUUUUUAAAGAGACGCAGUACUCUUCUCAGUACCCCCUUGAAGAGCCAUUUGUAGGUGAAACGCACGUUGGGGCUCUCUGUGUAUGCUGUAGGCAGAGAGGCCUAAUAAAAUCACA